CGCAACAAUGAAAAAUUAAACACGGGUUGGAAAACAGUGAAAAUGGUGUUUACGUGAAUAGCGAAAGAUUUUAAUAAGUGUUCUUGUUAGUGUUGUGCUUUUUUUGUUUGUUUCUUAAAGUGCAAUUAUGGCAGCAGUGCAUCGCCCCCUGGUUUAGUGAACCUGUUCUGGUGUAUUGCACGGAUGGGAUACUUACCUUCUACUUGAUUCACCUGACAGAAUGCAUACUCCAGAGGGAACUUUGGAGAGGGGUCAGGCACCACCUCUUCCUCCUCCUUAUACUGCUCCCGGGCACCUUGUCCAAGAAAAACCUGCCGGCGACCACAGCUUGCAGGUGGACAUGUCUCACGUUAUGUCACUGCCAGGGCAGGAUCAAUGUGAUAAUAUUACUAACAGUAUGAUAUGCAUCCAGGAUAGAUUAGGUCAAAUUAACAUUCAUCAUCAAGUUCACAACGACUCUCAAAAGAUUGCUAUAAGUGUGCCAGAUGGGGCUAUAUGCAAUAACAAUGACAGUUCCCCAGAAACUCCUCAGGUACCUUACAACAAGCAGGGAUGGAUGGAGGGAAUAUUUGGCUGUCUCAGACCAGUUUUGUCCAUCAUUGGAAAGGCCAACGCCAAUGAAAUCAAAGGAAACCAAGAUGAUUGGGAAAUUCCAUUUGAAUUAAUAACCGAUUUGAAGUGGUUGGGUUGUGGAGGGCAAGGUAUAGUGUUUUACGGGACACUUAAUAAUGAACCUGUGGCAGUAAAGAAGGUUUCGGACAUAAAAGAGACAGAUAUACGAAAUUUGCGCAAACUCAACCAUCCCAAUAUUAUUAAGUUCAAAGGCGUGUGCACGCAACCUCCUUGCUUCUGUAUAGUAAUGGAAUAUUGCCCAUAUGGACCUUUAUACGAUCUUCUCAGGAAACAGGACAAAUCCGUCACACCAAUUAGAAUAGUUAGUUGGGCAAAACAGAUUGCUAGUGGAAUGCAGUAUUUACAUUCCCAUAAAAUUAUACACAGGGACCUCAAAAGCCCAAAUGUUUUAAUAGGGGAAAAUGAGGUGAUAAAAAUAAGUGAUUUUGGAACUUCGAGGAUGUGGAACGAGGUCAGUACUAAGAUGAGUUUUGCGGGCACAGUGGCUUGGAUGGCGCCUGAAGCCAUUCAAGAGCAAGCUUGUUCAGAAAAAAUUGAUAUCUGGUCAUUUGGAGUUGUCUUGUGGGAACUGCUAACUUGCGAGACCCCCUAUAAAGAUAUGGAACAAAGUGCCAUAAUGUAUCUAGUUGGUUGUGGAAAACUUAACCCUCCUAUACCAACGACAUGUCCGGAAGGAUUUAAAUUGAUUAUGCAAAUGUGUUGGAAGUUUAAUCCUAAAGAUAGACCGUCGUUUAAGCUUAUUUGUAAUCACUUGGAAAUUGCAUCAGUAGAGAUAUUGAGUAGUUACAAAGACAAGCAGUUCUUCAAGACACAGGAGAGUUGGAAAGAAGAAAUUAAAACUCAGAUAACACAUUUCAAGAUGAAUCUUCAAAAGAGAAGACAGGAAUGUUAUUUGAAAGAAGAACAGUUAGUUAAGAAACGAGAAAAUGAAUUGAAGCAUAUACGCGAUAUUAAGGAAUUGUAUGAUAGAAAGCUGGAAAGAGUUAAUCAAAUGUAUCUCGAGUUAUCUGUCGUUUUACUCCAAUUGGAUCAACAAAAACAGGAAUGCAGGAAAAGAGAAAUGAUGCAAAACAAACGCAGAUUAAUUCAUCCUUUUAUGAAAAAAUUAGAGAAGAGAAGAGGAAGUCAACACAGUACCACACCCACCAGUCCAGAAUACAGUCUUACAAGCCCUGAUAGUCCACAAACAGUUCAGUCUAAAUCUCCAUUAUACAAUACCGCCGUAUCAUCUUCAAGUACGGUAGACCCAGCGGCUCCCAUUCAUGGACAAAAUGCUACACGACCUUUUCGCAAAAGACAUCACAGAUCGAAUUCAGGAUCACCAAGAACAUCCGGGUGCUCGCGGUCGUCUAGUAAUCGUAUGUCUGUUCUUGUUGAUACAGAAACUCAGACAGAAUGUAUGGAUAUAAGUGAGACUGAUAUGAGUCCAAGCAGUAAUACCACAGCAAGUACUAUUCCUCUUAGUCUAUCGAGAUCAUGCCAACCUCAACGAGUUAUUCUACGAGAGUUUAAAGAUGGUUCAGAUGAAGGUGAUGCUUACAAUGGGAAUACAGUACAAAUAUGUUAUUUGUCGGAACAAGAUCACCAAUUAUCUCGUGAAUUUAUCUCUAUAACUCAUUCUGGAACUCCCUGUUCCGAGUUCCUCGACGAACCGAAUGACGAUGUCAAUCGAAAUCCACACCAUAAAGGUAUUCGCGACAGUGAUGAUGAUCAUCUAGAGACAAUAGGAAGAAAAGUUUCUGAAAUAAUAACGAUCACCAAUGGAAAUAUUCUAACAGAUACGCGAUCAUUAGAAAAUGGAAAUGUAUCGGAUAAUAUAGACGGCGUACUAAAAAAGAGGCGAUGCUCAGAAACCAAGGAGUUGGAGAGUGCUGAGGAUGCCACUAACGAUAGUCUUACUGAUGAAGAAGGCGAAGAUGGACAGUAUGAUCAUUCGCUACGUAGAAGAAGCUUGGCCCGAAGACCUAUAUAUCCCGGAAGACGUUCCAAUAGGUUUAAAUACAUCAACCAAUAUCAAAGAGAACCUAACCAGUCGGACGAAGGUAACACGUCAGAAUACUCAAAUCCUCCGUCGAGCAAAAGUUCGACGUUAGAGUCUAAACCUGACACUAGGACUCAAUCGACAAAAAGGCCAAGCGAAAGGUCCGAUGGGUCAGCAACGGACAGUGACGACUCUGAUGAAAAUAUUACCGUUGCUACGGAAGUCUGCUACGAAGUUGGCAGUAAACUUGAGAGCGUAGUCUGAUCUUAGUUAUAGUUAAUUUGAUUCAUCGUUGUUCGGUUCAUGAUCCUCUUCGUUGAUGGCUGCAUUCUAUUUUGAAUUCAUGAUAUAUGUGGAAAAUCCAAAAUUCUUCGAAGGAUGAAAAUAGAAUUUUACGGUGCAAGCCGUGCUGAAUGCUUAUAUUCGAUAACAUCGGUGUAAAAUUGAUGAAAUUAGAAUUUCAAGUAAUCUCUGAUUAAUAAAAAUAAUUAUAAAUAAUAUUGUGAAAAUUCUUAGAAGAUAAGUAACUUGUUCAAAUCGAGAAAAUAUUCUUAUACUUCAUGGUAUUAGUAAAAUGUAAAAGAUUUUUGGUUGUGCGUGUUCGAAGCAAAUUUGAAGCUCAAUGUUUAACUAAUAUUAAGGACAAUGUAUAUACAUGUGUGAUGCUUUUUUAGUAUUUAUUAUUUACUACUUAUAACAAAGUAGCGUUGAUAUUAUAUAUUUUAGAUCCUAUUGAUGAUAAUCGAAGCCGUCAUAACAAAACAUUCCAUUUUUAUUUAGUUAAAAGAUAAUACAGUUAAGAGAAUUGUAUAGUUUCUGUGAAAAUAUGCAUGCCUUCGAAAUAUUGCCUUCACUUUAUAUCAGUGCAAAAAGAGUUGCCCCCAUGAAGUUUGAACAUAUAAGUAGGUACAACUUUUAAUAAACACUCAAAAACUGAAGAAACCGUAAUUAUUAAAAAUAUUGAGUGUGAGAUUCCAUUUUUGUUUUAAUUUUAACUCAAACUGAUUGUCGAGACAAACUAUUAAAUGGUUAAUAAGAUGAUGACUAUCAAAUACAGCUGGUACAAAUUUUCAUUCAUUAUCAUGGGUUCAUGGAGUCUUUAAUCCAAAGACUAGUUGAACAAGCGUUUACACCUUAUUCCUGAAAAUAGGAACAUUCCACAUCCUUACGCAAAUAGUAAUCUAAUCUAAGUUUUUCUCAAUCCCAUUUUAUUGAUGUUUCUGCUUUUGAUAUGUCUUUUAGUUCCUCAUGUCUCAAGUGUCCUACCAUCAUAUCUUUCCUCUUUGUUCUUUAUUUAUUUCAAUAUCUUUCCAUUUCUAACAUUGUCUUUUCCAUCACGCUCCUGUACACAUUUCGCAUUCUUAUAGAGCCGUACAUCGAACGUUGUCAAGUGUAUGAUUUUUUAGAAUUUCAAAAUUAACUGUUCCAGAGCACAUACGUUAAAAACAACUCAAUCCUGCACUAUUCUUUGUUUUAUGUCUUUCCUCAUUUUUUUUUUCUUGACUUAUCAAAGCUCCUGGAUAUCGAAAAUCGACGACUUCAAGUUUUUCUAAUUUUCAUUCAAAUUAUACCAAAUUUAAAUGGCGGUAAGUUAAAAUAAUUUACAUAAUUUUAUUUUCGGAAAGUAAAAAUUUCGUUAUUAAAUUAAUUCGGCUCAAUAAGAAAUCCUUUAAUCUUAAUUCGUGGUUGUGAUAGCAAAAUCCAUAUACGUAGUUCUAUUUCAAGAAUUGAAUUAUGUACAUAAGUUUGAGUCGACAUGGAUAAAAUCAUACUACAAUUUAUUCUUGUGCUAGAAAAUUUGAUGCUACUCUCAUAACUCCUUUUUAUAUUUAAUUUUCAUUUCACCCAAGGAUAAAAUAUUUUCAAACGAAAUAACAAGACGGCAAGCCAUAUUAAUUAUAUUUUUUAUGCCAUAACUCUUAUUCACAAGUAUUUGUCAAGUUUAUUUUAAAUGUUGCUUCAGAAUAGUUUUUUGCUAUAUCUACAAUACAUAUGGUAAACGUACUUAAUUUAUAUUUUUUACAAUUACUUGAUGAAGGGUGCAUGAUGAUGUUCUUUACCUUGUGAAAUUGAAAGAAUAGUUACAAUUUUUGCACUGAUAUACCUAAUAAUUACUUAAUAGAAAAAUAAGGUUGCUUCACGUUAAAUGUGUAGAUAUAAAAAGAGAAAAAUGUACCUUUCGUAUUUUUGAUGUACUUAAACGAUUUAAAACAUUCUCAUUCCUUAAGUAGAUAGUAAGUUAACAAUAGUAGGUAAAUUAAUAGAAUAAGAAUGCGAAGUUGUAAACCAUUUUUGAUUUUUACUUGCCUAAUAGUGUAGUAGACAAAGCUACAUAUGUAUUAACUAUUGUGGCAUGCAAUGUAGUUAUUUACUUUUUAUACGAUAUUAUUGUUGAAUCAUUUUGUACUGUUUCUUUGUUUUUUUUUUCAUAAUACAUAUGUACAAAUUCUCGUAAAGUACAAUACAAACACGUAUUAAUAUAA
rnacentral:misc_RNA from 1 species